GGCUUUGAACAGUGGCAGUAUUGUAGCCAAUGAGGUUUAUCCGAGGCGCGAUUAUUGUUAAUUGAAAUCUUCCGGCUGAAGGAGUCUAAAAUUUUUGGCAUCCACAAACGUUC
rnacentral:snRNA from 1 species